CUGUGCUAGAUGGGGAGUUAGCGGUUCCCUGUAUCCUGAAACCCGCUUUAUGCAGGAUUGAAUACCGGUAGGAGGGUUUUGCUGAAUUUGAAAUGGUUUAUAAGUAGUGUUGAUGCUUUCAGCUUUACGCAAUAGACUUGUUUUUAAACCCGUCAGAUCCGGAAGGAAGCAGCGGUAGA
rnacentral:SRP_RNA from 1 species